AGGUGAACCUGCGGAGGGAUCAUUAC
rnacentral:rRNA from 1 species